UACGUAGGUUGCGAGCGUUAUUCGGAUUUACUGGGCGUAAAGAGCACCGAGGUGGCUUCUUAAGUUGGAUGUGAAAUCUCCCGGCUUAACUGGGAGGCGCCAUUCAAAACUGGGGAGCUUGAGGUCAGCAGGGGAAAGUGGAAUUCCCGGUGUAGUGGUGGAAUGCGUAGAGAUCGGGAGGAACACCGGUGGCGAAGGCGGCUUCCUGGACCGACACUGACGCUGAGACGCGAAAGCGUGGGGAGCAAACAGG
rnacentral:rRNA from 1 species